rnacentral:rRNA from 1 species
GAUGAACGCUAGCGAUAGGCUUAACACAUGCAAGUCGAGGGGCAGCAUGGUCUUAGCUUGCUAAGACUGAUGGCGACCGGCGCACGGGUGCGUAACGCGUAUGCAACUUGCCUCACAGAGGGGGAUAACCCGUCGAAAGACGGACUAAUACCGCGUACACUCUAUUUUGGGCAUCCAAGGUAGAGGAAAUGAAAUUCGCUGUGAGAUAGGCAUGCGUCCCAUUAGCUAGUUGGUGAGGUAACGGCUCACCAAGGCGACGAUGGGUAGGGGAACUGAGAGGUUGAACCCCCACACUGGUACUGAGACACGGACCAGACUCCUACGGGAGGCAGCAGUGAGGAAUAUUGGUCAAUGGGCGAGAGCCUGAACCAGCCAAGUCGCGUGAAGGAUGACUGUCUUAUGGAUUGUAAACUUCUUUUGUAGGGGAAUAAAGAGGGGCACGUGUGCCCCAGUGAAUGUACCCUACGAAUAAGCAUCGGCUAACUCCGU